GUAUGAUUUAGGAACAUAGUACCGGGUAUGAUUUAGGAACAUAGUACUGGGUAUGAUUUAGGAACAUAGAACCGGGUAUGAUUGGUAUGAUUUAGGAACAUAGUACCGGGUAUGAUUUAGAAACAUAGUACCGGGUAUGAUUUAGGAACAGAGUACCGGGUAUGAUUUAGGAACAUAGUACUGGGUAUGAUUUAGGAACAUAAUACCGGGUAUGAUUUAGGAACAUAGUACUGGGUAUGAUUUAGGAACAUAAUACUGGGUAUGAUUUUGGAACAUAAUUCCGGGUAUGAUUUAGGAACAUAAUUCCGGGUAUGAUUUAGGAACAUAAUACCAGGUAUGAUUUUGGAACAUAAUUCCGGGUAUGAUUUAGGAACAUAGUACGGGGUAUGAUUUAGGAACAUAGUACGGGGUAUGAUUUAGGAACAUAGUACGGGGUAUGAUUUAGGAACAUAUAGUACUGGGUAUGAUUUAGGAACAUAGUACCGGGUAUGAUUUAGGAACAUAGUACUGGGUACGAUUUAGGAACAUAAUACCAGGUAUGAUUUAGGAACAUAGUACUGGGUAUGAUUUAGGAACAUAAUACCAGGUAUGAUUUAGGAACAUAAUACCAGGUAUGAUUUUGGAACAUAAUACUGGGUAUGAUUUAGGAACAUAGUACCGGGUAUGAUUUAGGAACAUAGUACUGGGUAUGAUUUAGGAACAUAAUACUGGGUAUGAUUUUGGAAUUUAAUACCAGGUGGUACUGGGUAUGAUUAUGCCCCAUAUGGAUACAUUUGUGCUUCCAUUACCAAAAUUGAAAUGUGGCACUUAUUGGAAGCUGAAAGUCGUUGGUACAGUAUACAGAACAAAUUGAAUGUUAUAAUAUGUGGUCAUAUUUGUAUACAGUUCGAAGAGACCGGUUAUUAACAGGUUCCUGUAUUGUAUUGUAAUGUCCAAGUCAGUCCAGAAAUUUACCUGUAUAUAUGUUGUUAGAUUUUAAGCAAUGCAUUAUGGAUACAGAAUAAUGUCAUCAAAAAUAUUAUUUUGUAACAGUAAUAUUAAUAUGUUGAAUGGCAUUGUAAUGUUGUAUUAAUCUGAUCACAUAACAUUAUUUUGUUAACUCAAAGGAAUUUUAUUUUUCCAUUUGUCUGAUUUGUCAGUCCGUACUUUUCAGUUGAUACUUUUUGUACAAUUAAUAUUUUAAAACUGGAGGUACCCUUCAUUGAAAAUACAUUCUGUAUGCUGCAAUUAUCAGUUUAGUUUUAGUGCAGUUUACUACAAUACUGGUAAUAUCAGUAGUUAGCGGUGAUCAUUAUUUUACAUCUUGUUUGUCUGUAACAUUGAAUUGUGUGUUGUUCUAAAAUCAGGUGCCAUAACUCCCAUUAAGUUUUUGUAUUAGUUUAGUUAAGGAAGAUUUGAAUUUCGAUGUAACAAACCUUGAUCUGGAAGCUUACUAUGUUAGACUUUUACAGGGUACCAUACAGUAUAGCAGGUAGAAACAUUUCCAUUCUGAUAAUCGAUAAUCAUUUAAUUGAUUCCAUUCUGAUAAUCGAUAAUCAUUUAAUUGAUUCCAUUCUGAUAAUCGAUCAUCAGGUAAUCAAUUGAUUGAUGUAUGGAUUAUUCAUUAAAAAAAAUUAAAGAUAAAAUUUGAAUAUUUAAAGCUAUGUGUUUUAAUAAAAAAUAAAUUUUGAGUUCAGGCAUUUAGAAGCUUUAACAGUUAAUAAUGAAGGUUUUCUUGUUUAUAAGUUGAAUAUCACAUUAUAAUGGAUUAUAUUUGUUUGAUUAGUUUGAAAUAAGAAAAUGUUCUUUCGUUUCUAAAACUCACUGAUUAAUUGACUUUUCAAACGUGGCAUUAAUUAGUUGAUUGCAUUUUUUUUUUUUAUUAAUUUUCAAUUAUUUUUGAUAAUUGAGCCAUUACCAGUGACUUGUUGAUACAUUUGUCUUUAUCUGUAAAUCAUGAUUUUGUUUAUGGACUGUUGCUAGCUGAUCAAGGGUUUCUACAAAAUCUCAGUUGAUAAAAGCUUUUCAUGUAUUAAUGAAGCAUAAAUGCUGUGGUAGUUUAAAAAAUUUGCAAAUACAUGUAUCAAAUUUUAAAUAAGAAAAACAAAUUUUUACAAAUUCUGUUAUUGAACACUGGGAGUUUUGUAACACAAUAGAUGUUCUGUGUAAGGAAUACGGUGUGUUUGUUACAAAUUAUUCCACAGCUGGUAUUACUGCCCCUGGCACUUGUCCUGUUCUACAAAACUAGGUGGGAGUACCAAAACGAGAAAAGUACUAUUUCAUUUUUGAAAUAAGAUUAAUUUAUGUUUGUUUCUGAAAAAAAACUUAAAAUAUAGUGGUAUAUAAACGUUAGUAAAUAAAUGUUCUGGUCCUCAGAGUUUAUUGUUGACAUGUUUUACCCACUACAUGAUGAUAACAAUAGACCUCUAAGACAAUUGUCCUAUACCUACCUGAGGAAUGUACAAUGAUAUCAUGGCUAUUCUGAAAAAUUUACUGUGGGAAGUUAUACAGUACAAGACUUACCAUUGUACAACAUAUACCUUCAACACGUGCACCAUGACAGUAUAUAUAGCAUAAUAUUUUUUACUUUGCAAAUAGCUUACAAUGUUUGUUAACAAGCUAUUUGAUCAAAGUUUUCCUAGUGAGGGACUCUUUCAUAUAUAAAUAUUAUGUAACACAAUUUAAAGUUAUAAAUAAUGAGUAGUGACACUUCCUGUUAAACUGCCAUUACAUAAUCAAAAUUGAUGAGUAAUAGGAAGGGGGACACUUAAAAAAAUGAUGUAACGCACUCAGAAGUUAUAACUGAUGGACAGGGACACUUUCUGUUAAACUGUCAAUGCACGAUCAAAAGUUGUUAGAGUGAUAUAGCACAUGGAGGACUAGGUGUAAUAUAUACAGUGUGAUAACUCUAUUAUAGUUAUUAAAUGUUAAAGAUUCUUUGGUUGUAUUUUGAUGUAAUAUAGCCAUUGAUAUCAGUUUUUGUUUCAUAGCUUGCCAAAUGUUGAAACUUCUAAGUUAGCAUUGUAGAUGAAAGUUGGUUGGUAAGUUAAAUUUCCUUGAUUUUUGCAGGUCAAAAGUCAUCGUAAAAUGUUUUUAAGAUAAAAAGAUGACUAGCUUAUUAGUUAGUGUAGCUUUUUUUAUUCAAUGAAAAGACAGAGUUUUAGAAUAAAUGAUUGGUAAUUUGUACCUUCACACAUCUAAACACCAUAACGAAGGGGAGAUAACCUCUUGGACAUUUUAACACUGUCUUAUCACUGUUGGAGUUGAGUAUUGUAACUAAUGCUCAAUUAUUUUGUUUUUGUUUUAUUUUCUUAUUCAAUGUAGCAAUGUUUUAUGUAUAUAUGAUUGUUAUAUUUUGUUGACUUGCCUUACAUGGUUGUAGUGGAUCUCCUACAAUGUAGUAGCUGUAAUAUUAAAGUAUAUAUGCUCUAAACAAAAACCUUGUCUGUGACGCUAUAUUUAUAUUAUAAUUCGCUAUACAUUUAACAUUGAAGUAAAAUUAGACAAUUUGCAUUUUGUGCUGAUGUUAAUGUUCAUGAGGAAUUAAACCAUCGAUCAGGUUUUUAUAUUGAUUACAUACAGAAGACCGUUUGGUAUUGGGCCAUUCAUGUAUAUGUGGACGGUGCCUGUGUCACAUGGUAUUGGGCCAUUCAUGUAUAUGUGGACGGUGCCUGUGUCACAUGGUAUUGGGCCAUUCAUGUAUAUGUGGACGGUGCCUGUGUCACAUGGUAUUGGGCCAUUCAUGUAUAUGUGGACGGUGCCUGUGUCACAUGGUAUUGGGCCAUUCAUGUACAUGUGGACGGUGCCUGUGUCACAUGGUAUUGGGCCAUUCAUGUACAUGUGGACGGUGCCUGUGUCACAUGAUAUUGGGCCAUUCAUGUACAUGUGGACGGUGCCUGUGUCACAUGAUAUUGGGCCAUUCAUGUACAUGUGGACGGUGCCUGUGUCACAUGGUAUUGGGCCAUUCAUGUACAUGUGGACGGUGCCUGUGUCACAUGAUAUUGGGCCAUUCAUGUAUAUGUGGACGGUGCCUGUGUCACAUGAUAUUGGGCCAUUCAUGUAUAUGUGGACGGUGCCUGUGUCACAUGGUAUUGGGCCAUUCAUGUAUAUGUGGACGGUGCCUGUGUCACAUGGUAUUGGGCCAUUCAUGUAUAUGUGGACGGUGCCUGAGUCACAUGGUAUUGGGCCAUUCAUGUAUAUGUGGACGGUGCCUGUGUCACAUGGUAUUGGGCCAUUCAUGUAUAUGUGGACGGUGCCUGUGUCACAUGGUAUUGGGCCAUUCAUGUAUAUGUGGACGGUGCCUGUGUCACAUGAUAUUGGGCCAUUCAUGUAUAUGUGGACGGUGCCUGUGUCACAUGGUAUUGGGCCAUUCAUGUAUAUGUGGACGGUGCCUGUGUCACAUGAUAUUUUGGUGAGAUUAAAUCAUAUGAUGUACAAACAAAACCAGAACAUAUAUUGAUUUGUGAAGAUAUCUUAAUGGUUUAUAUAUAUAACCAAGUCUGAUCAUCAGUUGCAAUGACUUGUCUCAACCCAAAACUCAGAUCGAAUUACUCUCACAGACUAUAUUGACCGAAUUUACUAUGUUGUAAUGUAUUUAGUGUAUAAGAAUGUAUGUCUGAUGUAAUAUAUGCCAAGUAUUAUAAAUACAAACCCUCUAAAACACUGAA